rnacentral:lncRNA from 10 species
UGCUGCGGUGAAGACCAAGGAUCGCCGCGGCUCCUCAACCGCCAGGGGCCGCAGGCUACGGGCGGUCGCGUCCGGGACUUUUAUAUUUACCAAAUUUUCAUAACUCCGCACCCGCCUCCUUUCAGAACUAGACUCUGAGCAGGUGGCAACGACAAUAGCUAAAAGGUUUAGGGCCUGCCUUCUACCUGCUGUUACAAUGUAGGUCUAGAACACCCUAAUUAGCCAGUCUGCAGCCUACAGGGAAACCCUUUUUCUGGAAAUUCAACCUCAUUUCACUUAUUAAUCUAAAACUCUAGAGCUCCCAAGGCAACAUUAAAAAGCACAGACUUUGGGUCAAGGAAGUGGCUCAUGCCUGUAAUCCCAGCACUCUGGGAGGCUGAAGUGGGAGGAUCACAUGAGCCCAGGAGUUCAAGACCAGCCCAGGCAACAAAGCGCAAGACCCCAUCUCUACAAAAAAUGCAAAAAUUAGCCUGGGGUAUGGUGG